rnacentral:rRNA from 1 species
CCGCGGUAAUACGUAGGGUGCGAGCGUUGUUCGGAAUUACUGGGCGUAAAGGGCGCGCAGGCGGAAUAGCAAGUCGGAGGUGAAAACCCGGGGCUCAACCCCGGAGGGUCUUUCGAAACUGCUAAUCUAGAGAGGGUCAGGGGCCAGCAGAAUUCUUGGUGUAGAGGUGAAAUUCGUAGAUAUCAAGAGGAAUACCGGUGGCGAAAGCGGCUGGCUGGGGCCACUCUGACGCUGAGGCGCGAAAGCGUGGGGAGCAAACAGG